UACGGGGGGAGCAAGCGUUGUUCGGAUUUACUGGGCGUAAAGGGCGCGUAGGCGGUCAGCACAAGUCAGUUGUGAAAUCUCCGGGCUUAACUCGGAAAGGUCAACUGAUACUGUGCGCCUAGAGUGCGGAAGGGGCAACUGGAAUUCUCGGUGUAGCGGUGAAAUGCGUAGAUAUCGAGAGGAACACCUGCGGCGAAGGCGGGUUGCUGGGCCGACACUGACGCUGAUGCGCGAAAGCCAGGGGAGCGAACGGG
rnacentral:rRNA from 1 species